AUAUCUUUCUUGGCCUUUUCGCUAAGAUCAAGUGUAGUAUAUGUUCUUAUCAGUUUAAUAUUUGAUAUGUAGGUCAUCAGCUCACAUGAUAUUAACUCAAUUAUUUAAGGGGAAGAUCUAUCAGAGUAGCUUACUAUUUGGGCCUUCACGUGUCGACAAGGCUUUGCACUACAGGACAGGCUUGGCACACCCCCA